UCCAGACUCCUACGGGAGGCAGCAGUGGGGAAUAUUGCACAAUGGGCGAAAGCCUGAUGCAGCAACGCCGCGUGAAGGAAGAAGGCCUUCGGGUCGUAAACUUCUGUCCUUGGGGAAGAAGAACUGACGGUACCCAAGGAGGAAGCCCCGGCUAACUACGUGCCAGCAGCCGCGGUAAUACGGAGGAUGCGAGCGUUAUCCGGAUUUAUUGGGUUUAAAGGGUGCGUAGGCGGGACGUUAAGUCAGCGGUAAAAAUGCGGAGCUCAACUCCGUCGAGCCGUUGAAACUGCCGUUCUUGAGUGAGCGAGAAGUAUGCGGAAUGCGUGGUGUAGCGGUGAAAUGCAUAGAUAUCACGCAGAACUCCGAUUGCGAAGGCAGCAUACCGGCGCUCAACUGACGCUGAAGCACGAAGGCGUGGGUAUCGAACAGGAUUAGAUACCCGAGUAUUA
rnacentral:rRNA from 1 species